rnacentral:lncRNA from 1 species
CUGAAGUUCUGGUAACUCUCGAUUUGGUGGAGACGAGACACAAAUCGAUCCGUCUUCCGAACAACACGAUCCGAAACCCUGCAAUUUUUUUUAUUUUUUUUGAUAUUUUUAUUUUAGUUAGAGCACCAAAGGAGUAACCACAGAAAAUUUGAGCUUAAACCAGUGAAAGACAUGGCCUACGAAAAUUUCUGAAAAUUGUGAAAAAUGUGAAAAAAACAUCACGAGGUGAAAACUCAAACUUCAGUUGUGAAUUUGGAGGUCCUAAAAUUUUCAAACCAGCCAU